rnacentral:rRNA from 1 species
CAAAAACAUUGCCCUCUGUAUAUAAUAUAGAGGGUACCUCCUGCCCAGUGAAAAUUUCAACGGCCGCGGUAUCCUAACCGUGCAAAGGUAGCAUAAUCACUUGCCCAUUAAUUGUGGGCUAGAAUGAAAGGAUAAACAAAAUAAACACUGUCUCUAUUUAUAUACAUAAAAAUUAAUUUCUAGAUGAAGAAGUCUAGAUAAAGUUGACGGACAAGAAGACCCUAUAGAGCUUUAUUUAUAAUAAGAAUUAACUUCUUAUAUAUAAUUUGGUUGGGGCGACCGAGGAAUUUUAUUAAUCAUCCUAAAAAUCAAGACUAAUAAGUCAUAAUACUGACCCUAAAAUUUAGAUCAAAAGAUCAAGCUACCUUAGGGAUAACAGGCUAAUUCUAUUUAAGAGUUCUUAUCUAUAAUAGAGUUUGGCACCUCGAUGUUGGCUUAGGAAAUCUUAAUAGCGCAAUAG